UGAGGAAUUUAAAAGUAGAAGUAGGAGUGAUACAACAUUGAAAACUAGCAAGAUUGAAGAGAAUGCAUAAGAUAUAAAAUGGCAUAUAUCAGUACCAAUUUACCUAAAGAGAUUUUGUAUGAAUGCACCACAAGGAUAUCCAUGCAUAUACGAUAUCCUUGAGUGUGUGCCUGUGUACGCAUGUGUUUGGGGGGGGGGGGACGAGAGAGAGAGAGAAAGCGAGAGAGGUUGGGGGAAGGAGAGAGAGAGAGAGAGAGAGAGAGAGAGAGAGAGAGAGAGAGGAGGAGGGAGGUACGACAGUGUGAGUGACAUACUAGUACGUACUAAUUACUCUUACAACAACUAAGUAGUACGAGUAGUAGUAAGUAAACUUACUCUACACUUNNNNNNNNNNNNNNNNNNNNGAGAGAGAGAGAGAGAGAGAGAGAGAGAGAGAGGGGAGGUCACAUGUGAUGCAUACAUUAGCAAUUAUCUUCACAACAUUGCAAGUGAUGGAAAAUUCUCAUCUAUUAACAUAGGAAAUCUUUACCACAUAAAGGUUUUGAGUAUUUGGACACAUUAUCGGCUUCAACAUCCCAGAUAUCAUAACUCCCCUCUAGGGUCAUUUUGACAAAAAAAGAAGCCCACUGAGGGCAACAUAUACAGAUUAUUGUGCAUUCUAUUAGAAAGUGUGUAGUUGCCAUGACUGCUUCCACUAUGAGUUUUAUGUCAGCUGUGCCAUUGCCUAUUUCAAAUACAAUGCAAAAUAUGGUUAAUUGAAAUGCAAACAUAAUGUAUGCCACUUCCUCCUCCUGACCCUUCAUUUUGUUUCCCUAUUUAGCCUAACAAGGAUGCUUGUCCUGUCUUAUCCUUCACAAGCAUUUAUUGACAAUCAAAGCAUGUGAGCAGCAACCUCCAAAGCGGUAGCUUCGGAUACAUUGUUCACCCCAAGUUUCACUAAUUCCACGUCCACUUCCAUGCCACCUAUUGUAUUUUGUAUAGGUAUACUAUUAUAACGGUAUUGAUUGGUUUCCAACCUCUUGUAAUCUAAAAAGUAUUUCUAACCAUGACCCACCUUGAGUAGACCUCCACUUAUCCAUGAUAGAAAAGCCCUAGCAUAAAGAAAUUGCAAAUGCUGGCUUCAAGGUCCUUCAAACCUUAAACACGAGUUUACAGACUCACUCUUCCAAAGAAUAAUCUUAAGUUCUUAAAGGUCAGAUUCGCCGGAAACAGAGUAAAUGCAGUGAAAGAUUGCCGUGCUCUCUCUUAACCGCAGCGAGAAUUUGAUUGGCCCAAAAACUGAGGUAAAACUGCCGAGACUUGCUCUGCCAGUGUACGUGUGUAACAUGCCAGUGAAACUGAGGCCACAGCAGAGUUGAAGUCUGCUUAGCUGAGACAGAAUUGAGGGAAAAACUUGCAGUGAAAUACAGACAACAAUUUCUUUUCAUGAUUUGUCAAUGAUCCUCAAAACGAGUGUUCUAUAACCCUCCAGUGCCUUGAGGGAGCUGUUCCCUUGGUUCAAGACAGCGUAUUCACUAAACAGCGGCCAGAAUUCACCUUUUGAACCUCGGCUAGCCAUAACCCAAAAAGUUGGAGGAAGUCUCUACCAGAGGUGAAAUAUCACUUGGAGCCAACUUCACUCACAGAAAUCUUGCUUCAACACUGAACACUGGAGCAACCUUUCUCAGCAAAACUGCAAAAUAGUGUCGCGGAGAACUAGGUUUCUGGAAACAAUUUUGACUAGACCCAGAGUAAUGGGAAUGCUCCUGCUGUCUUCAAGGAGUUGAACGCUCUUGACACCAGUAAGCGGUACAAUCGCUUCCCGACAAGU
rnacentral:lncRNA from 1 species